UGCGUAGGCGGCCAGAUAAGUCAGAGGUGAAAUCUGUCGGCUAAACCGGCAAACUGCCUCUGAAACUGUUUGGCUUGAGUCCGAGAGAGGAAGGUGGAAUUCCUGGAGUAGCGGUGAAAUGCGUAAAUAUCAGGAGGAACACCAGUGGCGAAGGCGGCCUUCUGGCUCGGUACUGACGCUGAGGCACGAAAGCUAGGGGAGCGAACAGGAUUAGAUACCCUGGUAGUCC
rnacentral:rRNA from 1 species